UCUGGUUGAACGAGACUUUAUUAAACUCUGGCGUAGGAACACGAGACUACAAAAAUAUCUAAAUUGUUCGUAUUAUAUAAAAUCUGACUACAUGUAUUUUCAAAGUGUUUAUAGAUAAGUUUCCUUGAAAAACAAUGCUUCAGCAUACAUUACAUCAAAUUUUUCUAUUAUUUUCAAGAACUAAGUCUUGUCAGCGGUGAUGAUUUGUGCUUAGGUCCAAACACUGUUUCACUUUUGGUUUUCCAGAGUAAGUGCAUAGGAGAAUUGAUUAAAAUCAACUCCCAAAAAUCAGAAGUUUUUUUCCCCCAAGGACUGCUCUAUUGUGUGAAAUUGAUUCUAUUUCAAUUGAAAUAUACAGACCUGGAUGAAGGCGGGCAAGUGUCAUUGCGUACAAUGUAUUCAUAUCUAUUAACCAGUGACGGGACAGUUAACCAUGAGUAGACCCUGCCUUCGUAAUCGGAGUUUUUCAUCUACUGCCCAAAGUCCAUGCUCUUGUUAAAUUGGUUCUAAUGACUUUUUCCGUCCCUAUGGAUUGUUUACAUUCUUCCUUUUAUGUGCAAUAUCUCUUAUGUAUAGAUGACAGGUGCUUUAAAAUAGUCUCAAUUUAACACAUUCAAUCUUCUACAAAUAAUCAGGUAACAAUGUUAAACUUUUUACAAAUUUGUAUACUUAAAACUGAAUAAAAUAUUUAUUUGUAC
rnacentral:misc_RNA from 1 species